GCCAGCGUGGCGUAGUGGUUUGAGUUUUGGACUAGGACUUUUCAGACCAGCAUUCAAUUCCCUGCUCUGCCA